GCAAAUGCUGAAAAAGAGAAUAUAAUUUGAAUAUCAAACCUUGUAGACUACACUAAAAAAACAGGCUCUAAACUAACUAAACUACACAGCCAAAAAUCCACGGGCUGUUUCAUGCCUGUUACGGGCCCGUUACAGGCAUGAAACCACGUGGUGUAUUCAACUGUUUGGUUAGAUACUGCUUAGCAGUCUGUGGAUUUCAGCAUGUAAUCAGCCGUGGAACGGGCUGUAAGCAGUCUGAGCACGGCCUGUAAGCAGCCCUGUGUUCUCAGUUAGUUCCGGUUUGCUUUUACACAAUUUAGGUCAUCAUAUAAGUGUUUUCAAGCCCAUCCAUCAUAUAAACAUUGAGUAGGGAUCAGUCGCUGGACCAGAAUCUGUGCCUGUGUGCCGUCUUGACAGAAACAUGCCACAAGUCUUCCAUACUCAACCUAGUAGAAAUAUUAAAGAUGCAGGUGAAGCUCUGAUGACAGUGAUGCAUGCAUUUUGUUGUGCUAUCUAUCUUACAUUAUCAUAUCUUUGGAAGGAGAUGUAAUUUCCCACGUCUAUCACCCCCACCUCCUGUGCGUAAACAGCCUUAUAAGGUUGUAUGAUUUCUGAUCUUGCCAUGUACGUUAGAACCAUUGUUCCAUUCAUUCGUGCCUGGCCGAGAGGUAUAAUGCCGGUGUGAAGGUGUAGCUCCAGGUCAUUAAAGGAUACCCUUUGCUUGUAAAUCUAUGAGCAAUGUCUUGAAAGUAUUAAUGUUAACUGUUAACCCACCUUCCUUGGUGCACCGUGUUGGGCUAUGUCCUUCUGACCGUGUCCUGGCCCUGGCAUUCCCAAAAAAGAUUGCAAUGAUGGUUCUUUUAUGAGGUGUGUGAGUCCCUUGCCACAUCUGUUUAGUAUUUAACAACUCUGCGUGGGUAUGAUUAUUAUUAGAAAUUUACCUCACUGUGCUCUUGUUUGGGUCAACACCUCCCUGACACAGGUAGCGGAGCUGCUCCAGUGUGGCAAAUCUAUUUGCAAUGUCACGACUUGACGCCUGUCGAUUACUGUGUAGAUUCUGUUCCCUCAUGAUACCGUUGAAGGUUUCACAUCUGUGAUUCAGUAAAUUAACUGUAUGUUAUUGAAUCAGCUAUAAUACUCACCUCUCAGCGUUAAACACAGAUGGGGGCCCAAAAUCUUUUACAUUCUCCGCUAAGUGUAGUAGAAGAUGAAACUUUGGCUUAUUGAGCAUGUGCGACUUGUGAGAUUUUAGAGAUUGUAGCAGGGAUGUACACGAUGUGCUCAGUUUUUUAAUGGAGGUGGUUGUUGCACUAUGAGAGUACGCUCCUUUAAAAACCUAAUGUCAUUUAGUGUCGAUUAACUGCGUUACACAGCAAUUUAGGUGUACCUUUGAGAGGUGCAGCCAUAUUUCUCUUUCUCCAUCGCUCAGAUAUCGCCGCAGCACAAACGGAGCUAUUUGAGCAAGAGCCUUGAAGUCCCUUCCCACGCAUGACUGGUGAUAUCUGGUCAUGCUGCCGUUGAUGUGGAUGUCCAGGCCUGAGCGUGGGAACUGGUCAAUUGAGGCUGACACCUCUUGUUUCUGUCUAGCAGUUAACCUCUCCAUCAGAUCCCUGAACAUGUACUUAUACCCUCCGAGCAGGAUAGUGUAAUUUGUUGGCUGUGCUCCCCAUGUGUGAUAAGAUCUUGGAGUGUCGGGGAUUGUCUCCAAUUAUCAGGAUCACUGGGGCUCUGACAAGAACAUUGGUCUUUAGGUGCGCAUCAUACAUCACCACACCCUCUUCCAAUUGUAUUAGGUCAUGUAUGAAGCCCUCUGCCAAUUCCAUACAUGGCACUUUGUUGGAGCAAGUAAUUAGGUGAAUGUUGUUGAGGUCUCUGUUUUGCUUUUUUGGCAGUCUUACCAUACAAAUCGCAAUAGUUAUAGCAUUGGGAAUACAUACAAACGUCCUCACCUGCUAAAAGAAGGGCCCAAUUGUCAAACUUGUUCCACUUCCGACUUCUAUUCCCACUUGUAUCGUCAGUGUACAACAUGAGCGGCACUGUUAUAACAGAGAGCCCUUUUGCCGUUUGUCUGAUAGGGUGACUCCGUAUCAACUCAUUCCAUUCCUAAAGGUACUCCAUACAAUCAGAUUAAUAUAAUUAUAUAUUUAACUAACCUGUGAUGUUAUUGCUCUACCAUCUCUCUCCUCUGUAGAGCGCACAAAAGUGUUGUCCUUGUUGAACAGGGUUGUCCGUUGGACGUCCUUUAGUUGAGAGCAGGCAAUCUUAGUCUCGUCUGUUACAAAUGUUUUCUGGCCAUCAGUGCAGAUCAUUCUCACAGUUGCACUUAGUUGGUGUGUCUCUUUCUAAAGGUAAAAUGGAAUAUUGCUAGAUGCAGCUAGUACUUGUGUACCUCAACCUCAAACUUCAUUAUCUUUGCCCAAGUGUCCUGUGUAGCUUCCAUACUGACAAUAUCACCAAUGAAUACCUGUUUCCCAUUAUGUGUGAUCAUGGGAGCGUGGUAUUUGGGAUCCUCGUGCCACCUUCUUGCCUCGUAUAUUUCGCUAUAAAAACAACCAUGUAAUAAUAAUUUUUUUAUAUAUUACAUUAAUAUGUACCAAAUUCCUUCACUUGAGUAAACAGGAAGUCUCUGUAUGUUGUCUGCAAUACGAGGUGUUCCCAAACACUUCCUUACUAUUGUUGAGGGGAAGUUGACAAAAAAUGGUAUUCCUUUUCCAGAGUUGCACUACAUUUAAAAUUAUUUGGAAAUAAGCAUUUAAUUUGGUUAACUUACCUUUGUUGGUUCAGUGAACCCUGGUAGUCGUACACUCUUCACUUGGUAGAUACUGGGAGAGCAAGGAUCUAUCUCUUUGCACAUUUUAAGGGCAAAAUCACCUAUUCUCUCGCUCUAGAAAUUAGGAAAGUUAGUACUACUAGUAAAUGGUCUACCGUUUCAUACCACGGGUCGUAGUGUACGCAGCAAGAUGAAGCCCAUUGCCAUUGUCUUCGAUGUAAAAGGGUAGAAAUAGUCACCACUUUGUUCUACAGAGUAUUGUAACAUAAUGUGCACAUUUAUUUUACUCAUUAAUUACCAGAAUCAUUGCCAGUAGAAUGUGGGCUCAAUAUAUCUGCUUGAGAAUUAGCACCAUCCUCUCCGUGUAUCAGGAGAUCUUCCUCACUGUCAUUUGUCUGUUUUCUCUAUGCAGUAACUUUUAAUAUACAACACACAUUUAUCACCUACCAUUUCAAGGCUGAGCGCAAACUCUUCUCCAUUCUCAAUGGUCUAAUAAAAAUAAUUAUUUAUAUAGACCACGUCUAGUCUUCGUCUUAUUAAUUUUACCCUUGUAGUGUGAAAAUGAGUCACAGAGUCUUUCUCUAGCUCUACUCUGGCAGCAAUUUUGAUUAACUUUUCCAGUCUCCUGUGCUUAGCACUUGUGUUGUGGCGCUCCAGAUGUGAGGGAUAUGGAAAAUCUACCUUGCAGACCGUGCAACGGGUGUCUCUCCCUUCCAUGGCUGCUUCUUGCAAAGACCAGCUCCACCCAGUUGCUUAGU